GCCCGUGUGGCGGAAUGGUAGACGCAGUAGACUUAAAAUCUGCGAACUGAAAAGUUGUGGGGGUUCGAGUCCCUCCACGGGCACCA
rnacentral:tRNA from 1 species